UUCAAAAAACAGCUUUAUAUUAUGAAAACACGGGUGAACAGUAUCAUUUAAUGAAAAUUUUCAAAUGGUCAUCCUACCCUCUCAUGUCUCACUUCUCACUUCUCUUCCUUACUCUGGCAUCUCACUUCACUCCCUCCCGUCCACUCAUUCACUCCCAACUUGUCGCCCCAAAACUCAAUCUCCAACCUGAAACUUCCUUCCUCCCAGUGAUCUCUGUCGUUCUCCAGCUCGAUCUCUCUUGUUAUCUUUUCUGGGUUCUGUUGUUUUUUUAUGAAUUUCAGGUUUCUUUGCUUUUUUUAUGGAAAAUGUGUUAACUUUUCUGGGUUUUUUUUUUUUUUGGGUUAAUAGCUUUUUCUGGGUUUAAAAAGCUUGUUUUAGACAUUUAAUUUAUGGGUUUUGUUGCUUUGUUUGUUAAGCAUGAAGCUUUAUUCCCAGAGUCUUUCUUUUAAGUUUUUCCUGUUUCAAUUUUUUCUGUAGAUCUAUUUGAAUCUGGGGUUCAUAUAUCUAUGGGUUUCAUUAAUAUAUUGGUUCUGUAAUUUACUAUAAUUUAAGGACACUUCUGAUUGCAUUUUCUUGAUUGUUUGGGAAUUGGUUUUAGAUUCCGGAGCCACUUACAGGGAAAGUUUGGAAACUAGAAGAUUUUGAAUCACAUCCUGCUUACUGAUUUGGUGAACAACUUGGGUACAAUUGCAAGGUCAGGAACCAAAGAGUUCAUAGAAGCAUUGCAAGCCGGAGAUGAUGUGAGCAUGAUUGGGCAGUUUGGUGUUGGUUUCUACUCUGCCUAUCUUGCUGCCAAGAAGGUUAUUGUGACCACCAAGCACAACGACGAUGAGCAAUACAUCUGGGAGUCACAGGCUGAUGGUUCCUUCACUGUCACAAGGGAUGUCAGCGACGAACAGCUUGGCAGUGACACCAAGAUUACCCUCUUCCCCAAGGAGGAUCAGUUGGAGUAUUAGGAAGAGAGGAGGAUCAAGGACCUUGUGAAGAAGCACUUUGAGUUCAUCAACUAUCUAAUCUAUCUCUGGACUGAGAAGAUUACUGAGAAAGAAAUCAGCGACGAUGAAGAAGAGGAAACGAAGAAGGAAGAGGAAGGAGAUGUUGAGGAGGUUGAUAAGGACAAGGAUAAGAAAUCAAAGAAGAAAAAUAUCAAGUUGAAGGAUCACAUGAGAUAGAGGCAUUAAGAAAUAGAAUAGCGGCAAGUUUGAUGAAUGCAUCUAAUUAGACUACCUUCAAGUACAUUAACAAUAUUGUA